UCAAGUGAAGAAGCGCAUACGGUGGAUGCCUUGGCAGUCAGAGGCGAUGAAAGACGUGGUAGCCUGCGAAAAGCUUCGGGGAGUCGGCAAACAGACUGUGAUCCGGAGAUGUCUGAAUGGGGGAACCCAGCCAUCAUAAGAUGGUUAUCUUGUACUGAAUACAUAGGUGCAAGAGGCGAACCAGGGGAACUGAAACAUCUAAGUACCCUGAGGAAAAGAAAUCAACCGAGAUUCCCUUAGUAGUGGCGAGCGAACGGGGACCAGCCCUUAAGUUGUAUUGAGAUUAGCGGAACGUUCUGGAAAGGACGGCCAUAGUGGGUGAUAGCCCUGUACGCGAAAAUCCCUUUGCAAUGAAAUCGAGUAGGACGGGGCACGAGAAACCUUGUCUGAAUAUGGGGGGACCAUCCUCCAAGGCUAAAUACUACUGACUGACCGAUAGUGAACCAGUACCGUGAGGGAAAGGCGAAAAGAACCGCGGAGAGCGGAGUGAAAUAGAUCCUGAAACCGUAUGCGUACAAGCAGUGGGAGCCCACUUUGUUGGGUGACUGCGUACCUUUUGUAUAAUGGGUCAGCGACUUAUUUUCAGUGGCGAGCUUAACCGAAUAGGGGAGGCGUAGCGAAAGCGAGUCUUAAUAGGGCGUCUAGUCGCUGGGAAUAGACCCGAAACCGGGCGAUCUAUCCAUGGGCAGGUUGAAGGUUGGGUAACACUAACUGGAGGACCGAACCGACUACCGUUGAAAAGUUAGCGGAUGACCUGUGGAUCGGAGUGAAAGGCUAAUCAAGCUCGGAGAUAGCUGGUUCUCCUCGAAAGCUAUUUAGGUAGCGCCUCAUGUAUCACUGUAGGGGGUAGAGCACUGUUUCGGCUAGGGGGUCAUCCCGACUUACCAAACCGAUGCAAACUCCGAAUACCUACAAGUGCCGAGCAUGGGAGACACACGGCGGGUGCUAACGUCCGUCGUGAAAAGGGAAACAACCCAGACCGUCAGCUAAGGUCCCAAAGUCAUGGUUAAGUGGGAAACGAUGUGGGAAGGCUUAGACAGCUAGGAGGUUGGCUUAGAAGCAGCCACCCUUUAAAGAAAGCGUAAUAGCUCACUAGUCGAGUCGGCCUGCGCGGAAGAUGUAACGGGGCUCAAACCAUGCACCGAAGCUACGGGUAUCAUCUUUUGAUGAUGCGGUAGAGGAGCGUUCUGUAAGCCUGUGAAGGUGAGUUGAGAAGCUUGCUGGAGGUAUCAGAAGUGCGAAUGCUGACAUGAGUAACGACAAUGGGUGUGAAAAACACCCACGCCGAAAGACCAAGGUUUCCUGCGCAACGUUAAUCGACGCAGGGUUAGUCGGUCCCUAAGGCGAGGCUGAAAAGCGUAGUCGAUGGAAAACAGGUUAAUAUUCCUGUACUUCUGGUUAUUGCGAUGGAGGGACGGAGAAGGCUAGGCCAGCCUGGCGUUGGUUGUCCAGGUUUAAGGUGGUAGGCUGAGAUCUUAGGUAAAUCCGGGAUCUCAAGGCCGAGAGCUGAUGACGAGUGUUCUUUAGAACACGAAGUGGUUGAUGCCAUGCUUCCAAGAAAAGCUUCUAAGCUUCAGGUAACCAGGAACCGUACCCCAAACCGACACAGGUGGUUGGGUAGAGAAUACCAAGGCGCUUGAGAGAACUCGGGUGAAGGAACUAGGCAAAAUGGCACCGUAACUUCGGGAGAAGGUGCGCCGGUGAGGGUCAAGCAUUUACUGCGUAAGCCCACGCCGGUCGAAGAUACCAGGCCGCUGCGACUGUUUAUUAAAAACACAGCACUCUGCAAACACGAAAGUGGACGUAUAGGGUGUGACGCCUGCCCGGUGCCGGAAGGUUAAUUGAUGGGGUUAGCGCAAGCGAAGCUCUUGAUCGAAGCCCCGGUAAACGGCGGCCGUAACUAUAACGGUCCUAAGGUAGCGAAAUUCCUUGUCGGGUAAGUUCCGACCUGCACGAAUGGCGUAACGAUGGCGGCGCUGUCUCCACCCGAGACUCAGUGAAAUUGAAAUCGCUGUGAAGAUGCAGUGUAUCCGCGGCUAGACGGAAAGACCCCGUGAACCUUUACUAUAGCUUUGCACUGGACUUUGAAUUUGCUUGUGUAGGAUAGGUGGGAGGCUUUGAAGCGUGGACGCCAGUCUGCGUGGAGCCAACCUUGAAAUACCACCCUGGCAACUUUGAGGUUCUAACUCAGGUCCGUUAUCCGGAUCGAGGACAGUGUAUGGUGGGUAGUUUGACUGGGGCGGUCUCCUCCUAAAGAGUAACGGAGGAGUACGAAGGUGCGCUCAGACCGGUCGGAAAUCGGUCGUAGAGUAUAAAGGCAAAAGCGCGCUUGACUGCGAGACAGACACGUCGAGCAGGUACGAAAGUAGGUCUUAGUGAUCCGGUGGUUCUGUAUGGAAGGGCCAUCGCUCAACGGAUAAAAGGUACUCCGGGGAUAACAGGCUGAUACCGCCCAAGAGUUCAUAUCGACGGCGGUGUUUGGCACCUCGAUGUCGGCUCAUCACAUCCUGGGGCUGAAGCCGGUCCCAAGGGUAUGGCUGUUCGCCAUUUAAAGUGGUACGCGAGCUGGGUUUAGAACGUCGUGAGACAGUUCGGUCCCUAUCUGCCGUGGACGUUUGAGAUUUGAGAGGGGCUGCUCCUAGUACGAGAGGACCGGAGUGGACGAACCUCUGGUGUUCCGGUUGUCACGCCAGUGGCAUUGCCGGGUAGCUAUGUUCGGAAAAGAUAACCGCUGAAAGCAUCUAAGCGGGAAACUUGCCUCAAGAUGAGAUCUCACUGGAACCUUGAGUUCCCUAAAGGGCCGUCGAAGACUACGACGUUGAUAGGUUGGGUGUGUAAGCGCUGUGAGGCGUUGAGCUAACCAAUACUAAUUGCCCGUGAGGCUUGACCA
rnacentral:rRNA from 1 species